UUACGGUUAUAUCACUUCGAAACACCAGUUACCGUAAGAUCACAGAAGUUAAGCAACGUCGAGCCUCAUCAAUACCUAGAUGGGUAACCGCUUGCGAAUACCAGGUGCUGCAAU